rnacentral:snRNA from 1 species
GUGCUCGCUUCGGCAGCACUUGUCUUAAAACUGAAAAGUACAGAUAAGACUAGCAUGGCCCUGCACAAGGAUGACACACAAAUUCGUGGGCUGUUCUAAGAAAUA